AGCUCCAAUAGCGUAUAUUAAAGUUGUUGCAGUUAAAAAGCUCGUAGUUGGAUUUCUGGCCGGAGCGAUCGGUCCGCCUCAUUUGGGGUGUGCACUUGUGUCGUCUCCAGCCAUCCUUGGGGAGAACUGUCCUGGCAUUGAGUUGUCGGGGCAGGGAACCCCAUCGUUUACUGUGAAAAAAUUAGAGUGUUUAAAGCAGGCUUACGCCGUUGAAUACAUUAGCAUGGAAUAAUAAGAUAGGGCUUUGGUGGUCUAUUUUGUUGGUUUGCACGCCGAAGCAAUGAUUAAUAGGGAUAGUUGGGGGUAUUCGUAUUUAAUUGUCAGAGGUGAAAUUCUUGGAUUUCUGAAAGACGAACUACUGCGAAAGCAUUUACCAAGGAUGUUUUCA
rnacentral:rRNA from 1 species